UACGUAGGGGGCUAGCGUUGUCCGGAAUCAUUGGGCGUAAAGAGCGUGUAGGCGGCCCGGUAAGUCCGCUGUGAAAGUCGGGGGCUCAACCCUCGAAUGCCGGUGGAUACUGUCGGGCUAGAGUGCGGAAGAGGCGAGUGGAAUUCCUGGUGUAGCGGUGAAAUGCGCAGAUAUCAGGAAGAACACCCGUGGCGAAGGCGGCUCUCUGGUACGUGACUGACGCUGAGACGCGAAAGCGUGGGGAGCGAACAGG
rnacentral:rRNA from 1 species